rnacentral:rRNA from 1 species
CAGUGGCGAACGGGUGAGUAACACGUGAGUAACCUGCCCUUGACUCUGGGAUAAGCGUUGGAAACGACGUCUAAUACCGGAUAUGACGACCGGCCGCAUGGUCUGGUUGUGGAAAGAUUUUUUGGUCAAGGAUGGACUCGCGGCCUAUCAGCUUGUUGGUGAGGUAAUGGCUCACCAAGGCGACGACGGGUAGCCGGCCUGAGAGGGUGACCGGCCACACUGGGACUGAGACACGGCCCAGACUCCUACGGGAGGCAGCAGUGGGGAAUAUUGCACAAUGGGCGCAAGCCUGAUGCAGCAACGCCGCGUGAGGGAUGACGGCCUUCGGGUUGUAAACCUCUUUUAGUAGGGAAGAAGCGAAAGUGACGGUACCUGCAGAAAAAGCACCGGCUAACUACGUGCCAGCAGCCGCGGUAAUACGUAGGGUGCAAGCGUUGUCCGGAAUUAUUGGGCGUAAAGAGCUCGUAGGCGGUUUGUCGCGUCUGCUGUGAAAACUGGAGGCUCAACCUCCAGCCUGCAGUGGGUACGGGCAGACUAGAGUGCGGUAGGGGAGAUUGGAAUUCCUGGUGUAGCGGUGGAAUGCGCAGAUAUCAGGAGGAACACCGAUGGCGAAGGCAGAUCUCUGGGCCGUAACUGACGCUGAGGAGCGAAAGCGUGGGGAGCGAACAGGAUUAGAUACCCUGGUAGUCCACGCCGUAAACGUUGGGAACUAGAUGUGGGGACCAUUCCACGGUCUCCGUGUCGCAGCUAACGCAUUAAGUUCCCCGC